UUGGAGGGCAAGUCUGGUGCCAGCAGCCGCGGUAAUUCCAGCUCCAAUAGCGUAUAUUAAAGUUGUUGCAGUUAAAAAGCUCGUAGUUGAAUUUCGGGAUCAGUACGCUGGUCGUGCCUUCGGUAUGCACUGGUGUCACUGGUUCCUCCCUUCUGACGAACCGUCAUGCCAUUCACUUGGUGUGGCGGGAAAUCAGGACUGUUACUUUGAAAAAAUUAGAGUGUUUAAAGCAGGCUCACGCUUGAAUACAUUAGCAUGGAAUAAUGAAAUAGGACGUUGAUCUUAUUUUGUUGGUUUCUAGGAUUGACGUAAUGAUUAAUAGGGAUAGUUGGGGGCAUUAGUAUUCAAUUGUCAGAGGUGAAAUUCUUGGAUUUAUUGAAGACUAACUACUGCGAAAGCAUUUGCCAAGGAUGUUUUCAUUAAUCAAGAACGAAAGUUAGGGGAUCGAAGACGAUCAGAUACCGUCGUAGUCUUAACCAUAAACUAUGCCGACUAGGGAUCGGAUGAUGUUAAUUUUUUAAUGACUCAUUCGGCGCCUUACGGGAAAC
rnacentral:rRNA from 1 species